rnacentral:pre_miRNA from 1 species
UCUUCAUUUCACGUGCUCUCCAACCGGUCAGAGAGGCCAGAGAGUAUGUGAAAUGAAGAGG